AGUGAACGCUGGCGGUAGGCCUAACACAUGCAAGUCGAACGGCAGCACAGUAAGAGCUUGCUCUUACGGGUGGCGAGUGGCGGACGGGUGAGGAAUACAUCGGAAUCUACUUUUUCGUGGGGGAUAACGUAGGGAAACUUACGCUAAUACCGCAUACGACCUACGGGUGAAAGCAGGGGAUCUUCGGACCUUGCGCGAUUAAAUGAGCCGAUGUCGGAUUAGCUAGUUGGCGGGGUAAAGGCCCACCAAGGCGACGAUCCGUAGCUGGUCUGAGAGGAUGAUCAGCCACACUGGAACUGAGACACGGUCCAGACUCCUACGGGAGGCAGCAGUGGGGAAUAUUGGACAAUGGGCGCAAGCCUGAUCUAGCCAUACCGCGUGGGUGAAGAAGGCCUUCGGGUUGUAAAGCCCUUUUGUUGGGAAAGAAAAGCAGCAGGUUAAUACCCCGCUGUUCUGACGGUACCCAAAGAAUAAGCACCGGCUAACUUCGUG
rnacentral:rRNA from 1 species